AAAAGUGAUACGAACUUCUUUUAAAAAUGUAAACCUCAUCUUCAAAGGGCCAUCAUUGUUUGCCUUUGGCUGUUUUAAGUUGUCUUUUUCAAAAUUUGGAUACAUCCAAUCCCACAUCCUAAGCUAUCGAAGAUUGACAUGGAUAGUAUCAAGUAUAUACUUACAACUUCAACGGACAAGGAGGAUACGAAGCGACAACCUUUCCGGUUUAGUGCUUGAAACAAUUAGAAACUUGCAGUAGGUCGAGUUCUUCUCAAAAUAAAAUGACCACAAUGUGCAAACCAAAAAGUUAGCUGCAAGUUCUCUAUCAUGUUUUCUGCUGCAUCUAUAGACAUGUUGAUACGUUUAAUUUUUUAUUACUUUUAUUUUGUCUAAUAAUGGUUUGAGAUAUCCUAAUAAAAUAGCUGAUGAGGAUUUGUCUAUCUAAGUUAAAUUUGCUUGGAAGUGAGUCAUUGUUUUGUUUUUUACUAUCUUUGUCUAUCUAAAAAUGCUUCUUUUUCUAAAGUUUGUACGAGUCUUUUGAUUAAAUAUGAGAAAAUUGUAAGUUGUGCUCUUUGUCACUAUACAUACAUAUUAUUGCUAAUAACAAUAUUUUAGUGUAACGUUAUUUUUCUCAUUCAUAUA